rnacentral:rRNA from 1 species
GUGGGGAAUAUUGCACAAUGGGGGAAACCCUGAUGCAGCGACGCCGCGUGAGCGAAGAAGGCCUUCGGGUCGUAAAGCUCUUUUAUAUGGGAAGAUAAUGACGGUACCAUAAGAAAAAGCCCCGGCUAACUACGUGCCAGCAGCCGCGGUAAUACGUAGGGGGCUAGCGUUGUCCGGAAUCACUGGGCGUAAAGGGUUCGCAGGCGGCAAUGCAAGUCAGAUGUAAAAGGCAAAGGCUCAACCUUUGUAAGCAUCUGAAACUGUAUAGCUUGAGAAGUGUAGAGGCAAGUGGAAUUUUUAGUGUAGCGGUGAAAUGCGUAGAUAUUAAAAAGAAUACCGGUGGCGAAGGCGACUUGCUGGGCACAAUCUGACGCUGAGGAACGAAAGCGUGGGGAGCAAACAGGAUUAGAAACCCUAGUAGUCC